CCCCACACCCCAACCCCCUGGACUCUGCCCAGGAAAAUUUGUCGUCUUUGGAAAUUAUUACAAAGUUCAGCUGGAAGUCUCCUUCUCCCUGUGGACCUUCCCCAAUUCCACUGGCUGCCCUCCUCAAGGACCCCUGUGAGAUAAAUUCAGAAAUGGCUAUCCUUGGCUUCCCUGGGGAACAAGAGUGCCUGCAGUUCUUUUCCCACUUCUUUUACUUUUCUAUUUCACUGGGCUCUCUAAAUUCAUUUCAGCUCUAGGGAUUUGGAAAGGAUUCCGUGAUGGUUAAUAUUGAGUGUCAACUUGAUUGGAUUGAAGGAUGCAAAGUAUUGUUCCUGGGUGUGUCUGUGAGGGUGUCACCAAAGGAGAUGAACAUUUGAAUCAGUGAGCUGGGAGACACAAACCCAUACUCAAUCUUGGGGGACACCAUCUAAUCAGCUGCCAGUGCAACUAGGAUAAAAUCAGGCAGAGAAAUUUGGAAAGACUAGACUGGCUGAGUCUUCUGGCCUUCAUCUUUCUCCCAUGCUAGAUGCUUCCUGACCUCGAAUAUCAGACUCCAAGUUCUUUAGCUUUUGGACUCUUGGACCUUUGGCCACAGACGGAAGGCUGCACUUUUGAAGUUUUGGGACUUGGACUGGCUUCCUUGCUCCUCAGCUUACAGAUGGCCUAUUGUGGGACUUCACCUUGUGAUUGUGAUUUCAAACCUUCUGGGUUUCUUCCCAGCGCUAAAUCCUGUCGACUGGAUUCACUAGGAUGAAUAGAGAAAGAAGUGUUACAUUUUAAGAUAAUUUCUUUUCUAAACACACAGAAAGGUGACCCAAGUCUGGAUGUAAAUGUGUUUUUAGGCAACUUCCACGUGGAAAGAGGUACUCAUCAAGUUUAGCUGAAUAGUCUUGUGAUUCACAGCUUGUCUUUUGAGAAGAGUGGAGGAAAUCGUGUCAUUUAUCAUGGGUAAUUCCAGUAUGGCUCACACUAUCAAUCUCUCUGACAAUCUCCUCAACAACUCGAAGACCAAUCUGUGGCUGGAAACUGUCCAGGUGAUAAGCAUCAGGAUGCUGUGGGCCAGGCCUGCUACAACACCUGCUCUAAAGUCAGAUGUACCAUCUGCAGUGAAUGUAACCCAACUUAUGAAGAGGAAUCCAACAGUGUAACAAUGUUACAAUAUGCACGUAAGAAGGGACUUAGUGAUGUCCCCAGUGGGUUCACCUCUCUCUUUGAACUGAGCAAUUUUAUGAUUAUAGGAACAACUGUUUUCUUCUUUCAUAACAUGAGUAAAAAAGCCUGAUCAACUUCUGGUGGUAUAAAAUAUUCAGAUUCUUAGUAAAUAAGAAGUUUAGAGAUGGAAAUAAAUGCUUUAUGGAUUUGUUGUCUCAGCUAGACACAGGCUUCGAGAAUUUAGAAUAUUUUUCUUUAAUAUUCACUAUCUGAAAAAUAAAUAAGAAUGGAUUUUUAGUUUUAAAUGA
rnacentral:lncRNA from 1 species